rnacentral:rRNA from 1 species
GUCCUAGCCGUAAACGGUGCACGUUUGCUGUAAAAGGAAUCGACCCCUUUUGUGGCGAAGCUAACGCGUUAAACGUGCCGCCUGGGAAGUACGGUCGCAAGAUUAAAACUCAAAGAAAUUGACGGGGGCCUGCACAAGCGGUGGAGUAUGUGGCUUAAUUCGAUGCAACGCGAAGAACCUUACCUGGCCUUGACAUGUAUCUAGUAGAAUGGUGAAAGCCUGACGAGAUAGCAAAUAUCAGGAUACACAGGUGCUGCAUGGCUGUCGU